rnacentral:lncRNA from 1 species
AUGAGGGAGGGAGCACUGUGGGUACCACAUCAUUUGUUUCCCUUGACUCUGGCGUCACAAACACAGCUUCUUGGAAUCUCAUGCCUGUUACUGGCUGUGUGAUCUGGAGCAACUGGCUUCACCUCUCUGAGCCUUUAUUUCCCACAUCUGCAAAGUGGUGCACAGUAAUACCCACGUUCCUGGCUCUGUGUAAGGAGCCAUGAGAGUGUAUUUAAAGGGCCCAGCACCCAGCUGCUCUCAGUAGAUGCUCAAGAGACAGUAACAACCCUAUCGUUAUAUGAGGUUCAAUGCAACUCAUCUGAUUCCCCUUCCAGUGGCUGGAGAACAUCCCACCUUCUGAGCCUUGGGGAGAAGCAGAGUGUGCCCUUUCCCUGCCCACUGGAGAAGCUGAAACAACAAAAACUCCCUUCCCUGGCCUCCCUGCAGGAGACUCCAGGAAGACUCCUGAAUGCCACACACUCCUAAACCUGAGAGACCUUCAUGCAGAUUGGGGAGCAGCUUUAGGACUGCUGGGUGGAGCCACAAUGAGACAGAUAAGCUCCAGGAAAAUAAGAAGUGCCGAAACAAUGGAGCCACCCAACAAAAAGGGCUGCCACUGCAAGUGGUGAGCUUCCUGUUACUGGAGUAAGUCAAAGAUGGUGUCGAAAAUGGUGAAAUCAAGAACUAGUGCUUAGAAUUAUGGAGAUUUAAAAACAGAAGAGACACCUCCCAGAGUUGCAAGUGGUCGCCUGUCCCAGAGAGCUGGUGAGAUGAGGUGGGGAGGUGGCAGCUGAGUUUUAUGGUGAGAAAGUGGAGUUCGAAGAUGUCAUCAGCCCAGGUCACACAGAUGGUGGAGACCAGUGUGGAGCCCGGGAGUGGGCUGAGCAGAGCAUCUGGACUUUGAGCUUCCAUCAGACCCUGAGAUAGUCACCUGUCCUGGCUGCCUGGUGACCCUGGUGUGCUAACGUGGCACUUAUCUUGCUCUAUGGAGGCCCCUGGGCCCCCUAAACACCAGAACCCAGUUGCUGUGCUAAAAAGAACUCACAGACCACGUGGAGUGGAGCAGAUGGGUCAGUGUCCCAGGUGGCAGCCCGUGUCGGCCUCAGACCUGCACGUGAGGAUGCCCACCAGAGGGUUCCUGCCACCACCGUCAAGUCACCCCAGCCUUAAUCUUCCAGCCGGCGCCUCAGGCAUUAUGGGCAGAGGUAAACUGUCUCCAUGAUGCCCUUUCCAAAUUUCUGACCCACAGAAUCCAUGGCUAUAAUAAAAUGGCUGUCUUAUGUGCUCAA